AUAACGUUAAAACACGGUGCCUAUACCACGUGACUUUUUAAGAUCUGUGUGGGGAGUAAAAUAUCAACAAAAGCGCGACGAAGGUAUGGCUCAAUGCUCCGAAUGCGGAAAAAUGUCGAAGACCAGAGCUGGAUUAUUGCGCCACAUUAGGGGACACGCUAACUCUGGAAACUAUAACUGCUGUGGGAAAGCAUUUCAGGAUGCCUACAAUCUUAGAAGGCUUCAACGAACAAAGGACCCCAAUGUCACGUGUGUGUACAGUGCGGCAGGAGCUUUGCGGACAAGUACCUACUCGUGGCUAGAGAGAAAAGUGCAAAAAAGAGGGAUUGGUGAAAUGUUACCAGUGUGGGUUGGCAGUUAGAAGUGAGAAUGACCUCAGAGAGCACGUCAAUACCCACAUGCAUGACAAGUGUUACAGUAGUGAGGAGUGUUUCAAAACGUACACACGCAAAACAAACCUUUCUCGAUACGUGAGGACUUCACAUAAAUCCGUGAAUACUGAUUAAAAAUCAUAAUAGUUUACAGUUUGUCUGUGUAACUUCAUUAUCGUUUUACGUUAUUUUAUUCGUUGUUUUACUUUUACUUUAUUUUUCAAAAUGAUUCUAAAGUUAUCCGAAUUUGAUUAAUUUUUAGGUUUCGUUUAGUUCGUUUGUGUGUUUGAAAUCAUCUCAAAUAAUUGUGCAAUAAUUUGGAUUUACGUUAUUCAUUAAUAUAUCGCAUCUGUGAUUUGUAUUAUCGAAUCUGUGAUUCUUUUUUUAAUUAUAACUUGAUUAAAGUUUUUCGAUGUUUUUUCGUUGGUUUCAAUUUUAAAUACCGCUGUCACGAGCUAGUUCGA